GGGGAUAGCCUUUCGAAAGAAAGAUUAAUAUCCGAUAGUAUAUUAAAACCGCAUGGUUUUACUAUUAAAGAAUUUCGGUUAUCGAUGGGGAUGCGUUCCAUUAGUUUGUUGGCGGGGUAACGGCCCACCAAGACUACGAUGGAUAGGGGUUCUGAGAGGAAGGUCCCCCACAUUGGAACUGAGACACGGUCCAAACUCCUACGGGAGGCAGCAGUGAGGAAUAUUGGUCAAUGGACGAGAGUCUGAACCAGCCAAGUAGCGUGAAGGAUGACUGCCCUAUGGGUUGUAAACUUCUUUUAUAUGGGAAUAAAGUAUUCCACGUGUGGGAUUUUGUAUGUACCAUAUGAAUAAGGAUCGGCUAACUCCGUGCCAGCAGCCGCGGUAAUACGGAGGAUCCGAGCGUUAUCCGGAUUUAUUGGGUUUAAAGGGAGCGUAGGUGGAUUGUUAAGUCAGUUGUGAAAGUUUGCGGCUCAACCGUAAAAUUGCAGUUGAAACUGGCAGUCUUGAGUACAGUAGAGGUGGGCGGAAUUC
rnacentral:rRNA from 1 species